rnacentral:rRNA from 1 species
GACGAACGCUGGCGGCGUGCCUAAUACAUGCAAGUCGAACGCUUCUUUCCUCCCGAGUGCUUGCACUCAAUUGGAAAGAGGAGUGGCGGACGGGUGAGUAACACGUGGGUAACCUACCCAUCAGAGGGGGAUAACACUUGGAAACAGGUGCUAAUACCGCAUAACAGUUUAUGCCGCAUGGCAUAAGAGUGAAAGGCGCUUUCGGGUGUCGCUGAUGGAUGGACCCGCGGUGCAUUAGCUAGUUGGUGAGGUAACGGCUCACCAAGGCCACGAUGCAUAGCCGACCUGGGAGGGUGAUCGGCCACACUGGGACGGAGACACGGCCCAGACUCCUACGGGAGGCAGCAGUAGGGAAUCUGCGGCAAUGGACGAAAGUCUGACCGAGCAACGCCGCGUGAGUGAAGAAGGUUUUCGGAUCGUAAAACUCUGUUGUUAGAGAAGAACAAGGACGUUAGUAACUGAACGUCCCCUGACGGUAUCUAACCAGAAAGCCACGGCUAACUACGUG